UUAAUACAUCCUCCAUUUUGAUUUGGGGCAUGAAGCCAGCAGCAGUUAGCAUCACCUUCAAACACUUCAACCACAUAACUACGACGCUAACACCUACAAGAGGUAUCACCGGGAAAAGAACGCCAUCAAGAGGACCUCCUAUUUUAAAACUCACCAAUCAGCACAUGUUAGCCGAAUGCUAGUGUUUUAUGGGCAAGAAUCAGCGUCACAGUGAAUAAAAUAUUGAUCAUUACAAUUGAUUUGUUUCAGUUCACAGUACCGAUUCUGGAUUUGUGGGAACUAGCGUGUUUUUGUGUGGAAAUCACUGCGGGCCCUCCCACAGCGCCCCCUGCUGGGCGCACAGUGGACUGCCCAUGCUAUCCUCAGUUAGCUAAGCAUCCCUGUCCAUGUCCAGUGUUACUGGGUUCACUGGUCCCAGUCCUCCCGCGGGCACGACUCCGGUGCGAACAUCAGCUACAGCUUCGGUUCCGCGCUGCGCGUUCGUGUUUAAUGUUGAACUAAAUGGCGUGAGGAGGGAAAACGCUCAUUACUGCGUUAAACGGACACUAACGGGGUGAAACCCCGGCCGUUAAAAAGCCGCGAGGUCCCGUUAUCUUAAAAAAGCCCACCGUGAGCCGAGGCCCUCGUCAGACCCGCAGAGGGACAUGAAUAAUGCAGCUCAUGUCGGCUCCGUAACGGCACACUGCUCAAAAUACCACCUGCAAGCUAGCCACUAACACCGGAACACCGCGGGGUUACCUCCAAAAUAAAAGCACGGCUUCUGGUAGACACUCACUGUAGCACGCACAGCUCGUCUCGCAUUUUGAAAGAGCUCCCCGGCCCUUCUCCCGGCCGCUUCACGGCGAAUAAAACACCUCUGAGCGCCGCAGUUUCGCUGACAGGACAAGAUCGCAGUUUGAGUCAUCAGCACUAACCCCGCCCAUCGAGACAAUCUGGAUUUAUGCUCCUGCUCUCUGGUUUCGCACAGAACAGGAUUGUGGGAAUUUAACCUGCGCAGAAGCUACAGAGAAACGUUCAGCCCAGGACGUCACUGACCAAUCAAAAGCUCUGUUUCUGAUGAAGAACAUCGGUCGGAGCGAAGCCUCGCGUUGCUCCUCGAGGACCUCGGGCUCCUCCCUGGUUGUGAGCGUCCUGUGAAAGGAGGAGGAGGC